rnacentral:piRNA from 1 species
CUCUUUCUUAGGGCCUGGUAUUAAUGAGU